GCACAACGCGAAGAACCUUACCUAGGCUUGACAUGCAUCUCUAAGCACGUGAAAGCGUGUGACCCUUCGGGGAAUUUGCACAGGUGCUGCAUGGCCGUCGUCAGCUCGUGUCGUGAGAUGUUGGGUUAAGUCCCGCAACGAGCGCAACCCUUGUGGCUAGUUGCCAGCACGUUAUGGUGGGAACUCUAGUCAGACUGCCCAGAUCAACUGGGAGGAAGGUGGGGACGACGUCAGGUCAGUAUGGCCCUUACGCCUAGGGCUGCACACGUACUACAAUGCCCAGCACAAUGAGAACCGAGACCGCGAGGUGGAGGAAAUCUAAAAAACUGGGCCCAGUUCGGAUUGGAGGCUGCAACUCGCCUCCAUGAAGUUGGAAUCGCUAGUAAUGGCGCAUCAUCUACGGCGCCGUGAAUACGUUCCCGGGUCUUGUACACACCG
rnacentral:rRNA from 1 species